CCUACGGCGGCAGCAGUGGGGAAUAUUGGACAAUGGGGGCAACCCUGAUCCAGCCAUGCCGCGUGUGUGAAGAAGGCCCUCGGGUUGUAAAGCACUUUCAGUGAGGAAGAACGCCUGGUGGUUAAUACCCAUCAGGAAAGACAUCACUCACAGAAGAAGCACCGGCUAACUCCGUGCCAGCAGCCGCGGUAAUACGGAGGGUGCGAGCGUUAAUCGGAAUUACUGGGCGUAAAGCGCGCGUAGGUGGCUUGAUAAGCCGGUUGUGAAAGCCCCGGGCUCAACCUGGGAACGGCAUCCGGAACUGUCAAGCUAGAGUGCAGGAGAGGAAGGUAGAAUUCCCGGUGUAGCGGUGAAAUGCGUAGAGAUCGGGAGGAAUACCAGUGGCGAAGGCGGCCUUCUGGACUGACACUGACACUGAGGUGCGAAAGCGUGGGUAGCAAACAGGAUUAGAUACCCUUGUAGUC
rnacentral:rRNA from 1 species